AUGCCUUUCGAGUUGAAAAGCGCUGGUUCAACAUUCGCCCGAGCAAUCCAAAUUGGUUUUGAGCCUCACCUACAUAGAAAUAUGGAAGCCUAUAUGGAUGAUAUAGUGGUCAAAACCAAGGACAAUGCCACACUCAUGCAGGAUUUGGAGGAAACCGUUGCAAAUUUGCGCAAGAUCAACCUCAAGCUAAACCCAGAGAAGUGUGUGUUUGGCGUUCCAUCUAGCAAACUUCUUGGGUUAUUUGUGUCUCAACACGAAUCAAAGCGAAUCCCGACAAGAUCAAAGCGAUUGAGCAGAUUGAGGCGCCAAAACGAGUCAAGGAUGCCCGAAGGCUCACCGGCUGCGUCGCUGCCCUGA
rnacentral:rRNA from 1 species